UAAUGGUAAGCAGACCAGAUGAAGUGACC
rnacentral:piRNA from 1 species